AUGAACUGUAAGCAAGGUUCUAAGAACAGAUCUCUGGAGGUGCCAGGCAUUCAACACCUGAAAACUUUGUCUGUCAGUGGCUGGUGUGUAGAUGUUGACCUCCGUGCACUGGUCCACUUUCUUCAACGCUCACCUGCCUUAGAGAAACUUACUCUGAGUCUCAGUCAGGUUGGAGCUUCAGACAAGCUUCACCAAAGGGACAACAUGGAGUCCAAGGAAACAAACACAUCGUUUAAUUGUGAACAUCUGAAGAAGGUCAAGAUUAGAUGCUCUCAGGGUGACAAAAGGGCGGGCAAUGUUGUGAAUGUCAUACUUGCCAGUGCCUCUCUCCCGGAAGUUGUCAUCAAUCCGUACGAGCGCUGGGAUCCUUUGGAGUAG
rnacentral:rRNA from 1 species